rnacentral:rRNA from 1 species
AGUGAACGCUGGCGGUAGGCCUAACACAUGCAAGUCGAACGGCAGCACAGUAAGAGCUUGCUCUUACGGGUGGCGAGUGGCGGACGGGUGAGGAAUACAUCGGAAUCUACUUUUUCGUGGGGGAUAACGUAGGGAAACUUACGCUAAUACCGCAUACGACCUACGGGUGAAAGCAGGGGAUCUUCGGACCUUGCGCGAUUGAAUGAGCCGAUGUCGGAUUAGCUAGUUGGCGGGGUAAAGGCCCACCAAGGCGACGAUCGGUAGCUGGUCUGAGAGGAUGGAUAGCCACAUUGGAACUGAGACACGGUCCAGACUCCGACGGGAGGCAGCAGUGGGGAAUAUUGGACGAUGGGGGAAAGCCUGAUCCAGCAAUACCGCGUGAGUGAUGAAGGCCUUCGGGUUGGAAAGUCCUGUUGUUGGGAAAGAAAAGCAGCAGGUUAAUACCCCGCUGUUCUGACGGUACCCAAAGAAUAAGCACCGGCUAACUUCGUG